rnacentral:rRNA from 1 species
CUACGGGGGGCUGCAGUGGGGAAUAUUGGACAAUGGGCGAAAGCCUGAUCCAGCCAUGCCGCGUGUGUGAAGAAGGCCUUCGGGUCGUAAAGCACUUUCAGUGGGGAAGAAAGCCUUGGGGCUAAUACCCUCGAGGAAGGACAUCACCCACAGAAGAAGCACCGGCUAACUCCGUGCCAGCAGCCGCGGUAAUACGGAGGGUGCGAGCGUUAAUCGGAAUUACUGGGCGUAAAGCGCGCGUAGGCGGUCUGAUAAGCCGGUUGUGAAAGCCCCGGGCUCAACCUGGGAACGGCAUCCGGAACUGUCAGGCUAGAGUGCAGGAGAGGAAGGUAGAAUUCCCGGUGUAGCGGUGAAAUGCGUAGAGAUCGGGAGGAAUACCAGUGGCGAAGGCGGCCUUCUGGACUGACACUGACGCUGAGGUGCGAAAGCGUGGGUAGCAAACAGGAUUAGAUACCCUGGUAGUC